rnacentral:rRNA from 1 species
CACGUAGGGGGCAAGCGUUGUCCGGAUUUAUUGGGCGUAAAGAGCUCGUAGGCGGCUCACUAAGUCGGGUGUGAAAUUUCGAGGCUCAACCUCGAAACGCCACCCGAUACUGGUGUGGCUAGAGUCCGGUAGGGGAGCGUGGAAUUCCUGGUGUAGCGGUGAAAUGCGCAGAUAUCAGGAGGAACACCAGCGGCGAAGGCGGCGCUCUGGGCCGGAACUGACGCUGAGGAGCGAAAGCAUGGGUAGCGAACAGG